AAAUAAGGACAUAAGGGACUUUGGCAGCCGAAGUAGGGGACUUAAGCAAUUAAAAUCCAUUUUUAACAAAUGAUAUUUUAUAGAGGAGACUUUGGCAAUCGAAGUAAGGACUUGUGUAGCUGAACCUAGGCUUCUAAAAGACAUUAUAACGGGUUUUUAAGUGAUUGAACGACUAUUUUUGCAUUUAAUGUACGUCAACAAUCUUUUUCUUGCUUAAACUAUAAACAGGGAGUGUUUAU
rnacentral:misc_RNA from 1 species